rnacentral:rRNA from 1 species
CACGUAGGGUGCGAGCGUUGUCCGGAAUUAUUGGGCGUAAAGAGCUCGUAGGCGGUCUGUCGCGUCUGCUGUGAAAACUCGGGGCUUAACCCCGGGCCUGCAGUGGGUACGGGCAGACUAGAGUGCGGUAGGGGAGACUGGAAUUCCUGGUGUAGCGGUGAAAUGCGCAGAUAUCAGGAGGAACACCGAUGGCGAAGGCAGGUCUCUGGGCCACUACUGACGCUGAGAAGCGAAAGCAUGGGGAGCGAACAGG